UACGGGGGGGGCAAGCGUUGUUCGGAAUUACUGGGCGUAAAGGGCUCGUAGGCGGCCAACUAAGUCAGACGUGAAAUCCCUCGGCUUAACCGGGGAACUGCGUCUGAUACUGGAUGGCUUGAGGUUGGGAGAGGGAUGCGGAAUUCCAGGUGUAGCGGUGAAAUGCGUAGAUAUUGGGAGGAACACCAGUGGCGAAGGCGGCUCACUGGACCGGUUCUGACGCUGAGGCGCGAAAGCGUGGGGAGCAAACAGG
rnacentral:rRNA from 1 species